AGAGUUUGAUCAUGGCUCAGAAGUGAACGUUGGCGGCGUGGAUUAGGCAUGCAAGUCGUACGCAUAGGCUUCGGCUAUGAGUGGCGCAAGGGUGAGUAAUGCGAAGGUAACCAACCCUGGGUGUUGGGCAUUAGCCGCGGGAAACUGCGGGUAAUUCCCAGCGACGUCACGAGAUGGCAUCAUCUUGUGACCAAAGGUGUGAUUCCGCUCUAGGACGGGCCUUCGUGGUAUUAGGUAGUUGGUGAGGUAACGGCUCACCAAGCCGACGAUGCCUACCGGGUGUGAGUGCAUGACCCGGCACACUGGAACUGAGACACUGUCCAGACACCUACGGGUGGCUGCAGUCGAGAAUCUUCGGGCAAUGGGCGAAAGCCUGACCGAGCGACGCCGCGUGAGGGAUUGAAGGCCUUCGGGUUGUAAACCUCUUUCGUAGAGGAGGAAGGGGCCGUGAAGAACGGUCUUUGACCUAUUCUAGGAAGAAGCUUGGGCUAAGUUCGUG
rnacentral:rRNA from 1 species